GAAGGCGGUCUUUAAAAGCUCUUGUGCAGUGUCAGAAGGGAGGCUUUUUGAUUUGGGACUGCUAGUCUUGCUGCCUCUCAGCUGGGGCAUUUUGUGGUUUGGGUCAGUGUUGGAGUGUUGUUCGCCCCAUGUAGCCACCAAAAGGACCCUCCACAGGGUACCCAGAGUUUUCUUCACCAUCCAUCCUCUACGCUCCAGGCGAGACUGGAUGAGGCUGUCUGGAUGUUUUACACUGUGGGACAGCUGUAAAAUAGAGGACACCAUCAAUCCAGCUGCCAGCCAUCUUUACACACAGGGGGGCAUAAUGAUAAAGGUUCUGCAGCAAAUAAAGGAACAACCACAUACAAUCCAAAACUGUGAAGCAGUGGGCUUCAUUGGUUUCAUUGGUUCAUUUUCUGUGAUUAAUCAAAAGUUUUGAUUUGCACAGUAAGAAAGCCAAAAUAGGUUUAAUGAUUCACAUGUUUUCUAGUAUUCACAAAAUUAAAUCAAGGAUAAAUGAAUUGACCAAAACAAAUGUUCUUGUUUCUCACACUCAGACUGCAACACCAAAAGUGUGUUACAUUAUACUCAUAUUGUGAUUGUUGAACAUCUCAUUUCAAAACCAUGAGCAUUGGGUUGAUGCCACAACAGCCUCCACUAUUCUGGUAUCAGGCUUUCCACCAGACUUUGGAAGGGAUUUGAUCAUUGACGUCCAACACUGAUGAGACCUGGCACCGUUUGCAUUCCAGUUCAUCCCAAAGGUGCUAGGUGGGGUUGAGGUUGUGGCUUUGUGCAGGCCAGUUUAUUUAUGGAUCUUGCUUUGUGCACAAGGGCACUGUCAAGAUGAAACAAUAAAGGAGCUUCCCCAAA